rnacentral:tRNA from 1 species
AUUUAUAUAGUUUAAUAAAAACAUUAUAUUUUCAUUAUAAAAACAGAUUCCUAUCUUAUAAAUA